UGGGGAAUCUUGCGCAAUGGGGGAAACCCUGACGCAGCGACGCCGCGUGCGGGAUGAAGGCCUUCGUGUUGUAAACCGCUUGCAGCAGGGACGAGGCCUUAUGGUGACGGUACCUGCAGAAGAAGCCCCGGCUAAAUACGUGCCAGCAGCCGCGGUAAUACGUAUGGGGCGAGCGUUGUCCGGAAUUAUUGGGCGUAAAGGGUACGUAGGCGGUCUAUUAAGUUAGGGGUGAAAGCGUGAGGGUUAACCUCAUUAAGCACUUGAAACUGAUAGGAUUGAGUGAAGGAGAGGAAAGUGGAAUUCCUAGUGUAGAGGUGAAAUGCGUGGAUAUUAGGAGGAGUACCGGUGGCGAAGGCGACUUUCUGGACUUUUACUGACGCUCAGGUACGAAAGAGUGGGGAGCAAACAGG
rnacentral:rRNA from 1 species